GUGGGGGAUAUUGCACAAUGGGGGAAACCCUGAUGCAGCGACGCCGCGUGGAGGAAGAAGGUUUUCGGAUUGUAAACUCCUGUCGUUAGGGACGAUAAUGACGGUACCUAACAAGAAAGCACCGGCUAACUACGUGCCAGCAGCCGCGGUAAAACGUAGGGUGCAAGCGUUGUCCGGAAUUACUGGGUGUAAAGGGAGCGUAGACGGUGUGGCAAGUCUGAUGUGAAAGGCAUGGGCUCAACCUGUGGACUGCAUUGGAAACUGUCAUACUUGAGUGCCGGAGGGGUAAGCGGAAUUCCUAGUGUAGCGGUGAAAUGCGUAGAUAUUAGGAGGAACACCAGUGGCGAAGGCGGCUUACUGGACGGUAACUGACGUUGAGGCUCGAAAGCGUGGGGAGCAAACAGGAUUAGAAACCCUAGUAGUCC
rnacentral:rRNA from 1 species